rnacentral:rRNA from 1 species
UACAGAGGUCUCAAGCGUUGUUCGGAUUCAUUGGGCGUAAAGGGUGUGUAGGUGGCGCCGUAAGUCAGGUGUGAAAUCUCGGGGCUUAACUCCGAAACUGCAUUUGAUACUGCGGUGCUUGAGGACUGGAGAGGAGACUGGAAUUCAUGGUGUAGCAGUGAAAUGCGUAGAGAUCAUGAGGAAGACCAGUGGCGAAGGCGGGUCUCUGGACCGUUGUUGACGCUGAGGUGCGAAAGCGUGGGGAGCAAACAGG